rnacentral:rRNA from 1 species
AGAACGAACGCUGGCGGCAUGCCUAAUACAUGCAAGUCGAACGAAGGCUUCGGCCUUAGUGGCGCACGGGUGCGUAACGCGUGGGAAUCUGCCCCUUGGUUCGGAAUAACAGUUGGAAACGACUGCUAAUACCGGAUGAUGACGAAAGUCCAAAGAUUUAUCGCCAAGGGAUGAGCCCGCGUAGGAUUAGCUAGUUGGUGAGGUAAAGGCUCACCAAGGCGACGAUCCUUAGCUGGUCUGAGAGGAUGAUCAGCCACACUGGGACUGAGACGACGGCCCAGACUCCGUACGGGAGCAGCAGGUAGGAAUAGUUGGACAAGUGGGCGACAACGCCUAGACUCCAGCCAUCGCCGCGUGUGUAGAAGAGGUCCGUU